GAAAAACAGAUGUUUAAGACAUGAUUCACCUGUCCGGGGGUGAAUGCCUGGGGUGCAAUCCAUUUCAUGUUAUGACAGAAGGGUAAACAUGUAAGUUUGGACAGAUGAAUCCCAUACAGUUUAUCUGUAUGUCCCCUCAGCAUCAGGAACCAAUCUCAAGCAAGAUAAAAGAAGCAGCAGUACAAACGAAGCCCUGUAGGUAUGCCCAGAGAUAGAGACUCAGGCAUGGAAUUAAAAAAAAAAAAGUGGAAUGAUUGCUAAGCAACAGCAGGAAAGCUGCUGACAGUGAGAAGUAUUUGGCAGCAGAAAGUCUCCCCAGGGGAGGAAGGAGGAGCAGAAACACAGCCAAUGAGGAUGUUUAAAACUGGACGGGACAAACAAAAUGCUGUGGAAUGAAUCCCUGGGGUUUGUUCUGCACGAGGAACUCGCUCCUGCUCUGCAGGCUGGCUCUUCCUCACACAGAUUGGGCUCUGAACCUGGAGGAGCAGCUGUUCACCUCUGUGCUAAUGCUGAGGAAUGCGCAAAGUGAGAAGCAAGAAGACAGCAUGGUGCACUAAAGGAAAACAUCAACUAUGUCAGCCCACUCAGUUCCAGCGAUGCUCUGUUCUAGCUCUGAUCUAAACCAUAAGGAAGGAUUUCUCCCCAUUACCUGAGGAAGACUGGGGUGACUUAGACAGAAGCACUGGGAUGUGAUUCCAGAUUGGCUCUAUCUUACGGGACAAGACAUGAAGAGACUCAAACCUCCAUCCACUAGCCCCUUCAUGAGAACAGGGAUGGAAGACUGAGGCCUUCCUUUGGCACAUACCAUCUAAAGCUCCUGCUACAGUCCAGUAACGCAUUUCUCUCUGCUUGCUUGCUUGCAAGGGUUAAGAUGGAGAAAGGCUGAUGAAUGCCCUAUAUCAAAUGCAUCACUAUCUUAAAAGACAAGAACCAGACCACUGAACAAUUUAAUGCGAAGAAAGUAAAGACCUGUGUUCACCAAGAUGAAGUUAACUAUUCUUAACAUCCUGCUGAAUAAGCCUUUCUUCCUAUGGACAGGAAAAUGCAGGACACUCCUCCUGCCUAAGGUCCUACGAUGAGACUGUCUCAUUGGAUGUGCAAACAAAUUCCUUUCUGCUUACCAUCUGGAUCUUCUGCUGGCUGUAUACUCAUGUAAGGUUCACCUUUCUCCAUG